rnacentral:rRNA from 1 species
GAUGAACGCUGGCGGCGUGCCUAAUACAUGCAAGUCGAGCGAACAGACGAGGAGCUUGCUUCUCUGACGUUAGCGGCGGACGGGUGAGUAACACGUGGAUAACCUACCUAUAAGACUGGGAUAACUUCGGGAAACCGGAGCUAAUACCGGAUGAUAUAUUGAACCGCAUGGUUCAAUAGUGAAAGACGGUUUUGCUGUCACUUAUAGAUGGAUCCGCGCUGCAUUAGCUAGUUGGUAAGGUAACGGCUUACCAAGGCAACGAUGCGUAGCCGACCUGAGAGGGUGAUCGGCCACACUGGAACUGAGACACGGUCCAGACUCCUACGGGAGGCAGCAGUAGGGAAUCUUCCGCAAUGGGCGAAAGCCUGACGGAGCAACGCCGCGUGAGUGAUGAAGGUCUUCGGAUCGUAAAACUCUGUUAUUAGGGAAGAACAUAUGUGUAAGUAACUGUGCACGUCUUGACGGUACCUAAUCAGAAAGCCACGGCUAACUACGUG